CGCGUAGGCGGACAGUUUAGUCAGAGGUGAAAGCCCAGGGCUCAACCUUGGAAUAGCCUUUGAUACUGGCUGUCUUGAGUACGGGAGAGGUGUGUGGAACUCCGAGUGUAGAGGUGAAAUUCGUAGAUAUUCGGAAGAACACCAGUGGCGAAGGCGACACACUGGCCCGUUACUGACGCUGAGGCGCGAAAGCGUGGGAGCAAACA
rnacentral:rRNA from 1 species